CACCAGGUUGAUUCUGCCUGACGUAGAGGCUAGACUCAAAGAUUAAGCCAUGCAUGUUUGCGAAGUUUAUAAUGAAACAACAGACGGCUCAGUAAUUCUGCGAUUAUUUGCACUAUUUAGAAAAGAUAACUAAUGUAACCAUUAGCUAAGAAGAUAGUUUAAGACGCAGGCUCAUCAGUUAGUUGGUAGUGUAAUGGACUACCAAGACUAUAACGGGUAACGGGAAAUUAGGGUUUUAUUCCGGAGAGGGAGCCUGAGAGAUGGCUCCCACGUCCAAGGACGGCAGCAGGCGCGAAAAUUGCCCACUCUUGAUAUGAGGAGGCAGUUAUGAGACAUGUUCAAAAGAAUAGACUGUAAAUAGGUCUAUGUGAUGCGAUUGGAGGGCAAGUUUGGUGCCAGCAGCCGCGGUAAUACCGACUCCAAGAGUUUCUAUGGUGGAUGCUGCAGUUAAAAAGUCCGUAGUUUUAUUUAGGCAAUUAAAG
rnacentral:rRNA from 1 species